rnacentral:rRNA from 1 species
AACGAACGCUGGCGGCAUGCCUAACACAUGCAAGUCGAACGAGACCUUCGGGUCUAGUGGCGCACGGGUGCGUACCGCGUGGGAACCUGCCCUUAGGUUCGGAAUAACUCCCCGAAAGGGGUGCUAAUACCGGAUAAUGUCUUCGGACCAAAGAUUUAUCGCCUUUGGAUGGGCCCGCGUUGGAUUAGCUAGUUGGUAGGGUAAAAGCCUACCAAGGCGACGAUCCAUAGCUGGUCUGAGAGGAUGAUCAGCCACACUGGGACUGAGACACGGCCCAGACUCCGACGGGAGGCAGCAGUGGGGAAUAUUGGACAAGGGGCGAAAGCCUGAUCCAGCAAUGCCGCGUGAGUGAUGAAGGCCUUAGGGUUGUAAAGCUCUUUUACCCGGGAUGAUAAUGACAGUACCGGGAGAAUAAGCUCCGGCGAACUCCGU